rnacentral:rRNA from 1 species
UACGUAGGGUGCAAGCGUUUGUCCGGAAUUAUUGGGCGUAAAGAGCUCGUAGGCGGCCUGUCGCGUCGGCUGUGAAAACCCGGGGCUCAACCCCGGGCCUGCAGUCGAUACGGGCAGGCUAGAGUUCGGCAGGGGAGACUGGAAUUCCUGGUGUAGCGGUGAAAUGCGCAGAUAUCAGGAGGAACACCGGUGGCGAAGGCGGGUCUCUGGGCCGAUACUGACGCUGAGGAGCGAAAGCGUGGGGAGCGAACAGG